UACGGAGGGUGCAAGCGUUAUCCGGAUUCACUGGGUUUAAAGGGUGCGUAGGUGGGCAAGUAAGUCAGUGGUGAAAUCUCCGGGCUUAACCCGGAAACUGCCAUUGAUACUAUUUGUCUUGAAUACUGUGGAGGUCAGCGGAAUAUGUCAUGUAGCGGUGAAAUGCUUAGAUAUGACAUAGAACACCAAUUGCGAAGGCAGCUGGCUAAACAAAUAUUGACACUGAGGCACGAAAGCGUGGGGAUCAAACAGG
rnacentral:rRNA from 1 species